GACGAACGCUGGCGGCGUGCUUAACACAUGCAAGUCGAACGGAAAGGCCCUGCUUUUGUGGGGUGCUCGAGUGGCGAACGGGUGAGUAACACGUGAGUAUCCUGCCCUUUACUUUGGGAUAACUUCAGGAAACUGGGGCUAAUACCGGAUAGGAGCUCCUGCUGCAUGGUGGGGGUUGGAAAGUUUCGGCGGUUGGGGAUGGACUCGCGGCUUAUCAGCUUGUUGGUGGGGUAGUGGCUUACCAAGGCUUUGACGGGUAGCCGGCCUGAGAGGGUGACCGGCGACAAUGGGACUGAGAUACGGCGCAGAAUGCUACGGGAGGCAGCAGUGGGGAAUAUUGCACAAUGGGCGGAAGCCUGAUGCAGCAACGCCGCGUGCGGGAUGACGGCCUUCGGGUUGUAAACCGCUUUCGCAUGUGACGAAGCGUGAGUGACGGUAAUGGGUAAAGAAGCACCGGCUAACUACGUG
rnacentral:rRNA from 1 species